rnacentral:tRNA from 1 species
GACGACGCCGGCCGUGGUGGGAAGGUCACCGAGCUUGAGGCGCUCGGAGUUGGCCUUCAUGCGACGCGACCAGUUCUGCUCCUGGGCGCCGGUG